AGUCAUGUCGCCCUCCGCUUUCUUUCCUGCUCCUCGGGGCUUCCCUCUCGGAAUCUGGCUCAGAAGAAUUUCACUCCUUGGGAUUUUACAGAAUGGCCACCAGUGAUUUGGCAAUGGAUGGGGGUUCAGGUCCACAGAUUUGAUCCUCAAGCACCUGACUGUAGCCAACUCCUU